rnacentral:rRNA from 1 species
GGGGGACAGUAGGGAAUCUUCCACAAUGGACGCAAGUCUGAUGGAGCAACGCCGCGUGAGUGAAGAAGGUUUUCGGAUCGUAAAGCUCUGUUGUUGGUGAAGAAGGACAUGGAUAGUAACUGAUCUAUGUUUGACGGUAAUCAACCAGAAAGUCACGGCUAACUACGUGCCAGCAGCCGCGGUAAUACGUAGGUGGCAAGCGUUGUCCGGAUUUAUUGGGCGUAAAGCGAACGCAGGCGGGAGAACAAGUCAGCUGUGAAAGCCCUCGGCUUAACCGAGGAACGGCAACUGAAACUGUUUUUCUUGAGUGCAGAAGAGGAGAGUGGAACUCCAUGUGUAGCGGUGAAAUGCGUAGAUAUAUGGAAGAACACCAGUGGCGAAGGCGGCUCUCUGGUCUGUAACUGACGCUGAGGUUCGAAAGCAUGGGUAGCGAACAGGAUUAGAUACCCUGGUAGUCCAUGCCGUAAACGAUGAGUGCUAAGUGUUGGGAGGUUUCCGCCUCUCAGUGCUGCAGCUAACGCAUUAAGCACUCCGCCUGGG